rnacentral:lncRNA from 1 species
CACAUCUAUUGCAGCUUCAGGUGGUAUGAAACAGGGGACGCUGACGGAGAGCACAUCAUAAUUAGAACUUUUCAUACUUUUAAAUACAUGCUAGGAGUCAGAAUAUAUUGUUUAUUAAGGCAUCCAUAUUCUGCAAUUUUAUUUAGAUCUUCUCAUUAGAGUGUUGUGCUUGGGGUAGAGAAAUUUUCAUCAAGUACAUAUAAAUGGGAUUCUGCAAGAAUCUCCACGACUGAGAUCGGCCUUUCCCUGAAUAUAUACAAAGCCGUACUAAUGUGAAAUAUCCUGAUCAAUUCAAGUUUGCCAUUUACAUUUUAAUUAUGAUCAACUAUAUGUUUUCUAAUGAAUGAAAAUUUCCAAUGGUCAUAGUUAUUGUCUGGAAUUUUGUGUUAAUGGCUCUCUGUAUUAGGAAAUCAUUCAACCUUCUGGAACAUAAUCCAUUCCAUUUCAUAAAGGUUGAGAGGUGCUGGACUGUCUACAAGAACAGAGUGGAUGAGGGUGGCUAUUUUGUUGCACAGGUACUAGAAUUCAUGGAGAUUUGCAUUUGAAAAAUCAUUUUCUCAUCAUUGGAAAAGGUUUGUUUAUACAUCCUCUAGAAACAUGAUAUACACAAAGAAUUAAGAAGGAUUUUUAGCGCCUUAUAAUAUUGAUAUAGACCACCUUUUUCUUCACAAACACUAGCCAUUGAUAAAGUUAGUUGUGCACUGUAUAAAGCACGCACCAGUUAAUUUGAAACCUAGACAAUGAUUCCUGAAACUGACCCAUGAUUAAAGAAGAAAAAGAAAAAACAAGUAUUCUUUGUUAAAGAACAAAAUGCAGAGAAAGGAAAGAUUACUCCUUAAAAAAAUCAAAGGUUGUUUGAAGUCCACCUUCUAUAAGUAGGAGCUUCAUGCAUUCUAUCAGAGCAAACGUAUGAAAGCACAUUAUACCUCCUUGUUUUUGUAAUUCUCUCCUUCUGUUAUAUAUAACAUUGCAGAACUGCUACAAAACUGCCACAAACCGACACCACUAGUACAGAAACAACUAAUCAAGGAGCAGCAAAAUCUGUCGCACCUCUUUUGGGAGUUUGAAUGCAAGUUCAAACCGGGCCAGCUUUCUAGUUUCUUGUAUAGUUACAGAAUUGCCGUUCCAUAAGUUUCUCUCCUUCAAAUUCAAGUUCAACCAAAGUAAUUAACAUUACCAAUUCACAGCCGCUCCUCCAUCUAGGCAGCUGUUAUUUUGUACGAUUUAAGAAAAAGCAAGUUUUUAGUAUGGAUGACAUCUUUCUCCUCUACUCUGUAUUUUCACGAGAGAUUAUAGCUCAUCUCUAUCAUUGCUCCUCCUCACAUAAAAAAGGCUGUGGCUGUGCCCAUUCUUCUCCAAGAAACGGCCUCUUUCCACUUCCAUUUCGAUGCUCCACACUCAGCUUAGUAGACCUUGCUCCUAUCUCUGGACGCUGAACAUAAAUCCUGAGAAGCCAAGUUCCAUGAACUUUUUGUUUACAACCCAAAAGGGAAUCACAAUUCACACUUAAAAGUUGAAGAAAGAAGCGAAAUGGGCCAAAUUUUGGAGGGCCUGGCUUUUCUUUUCCUUUCUGUAGCACUAAACCGCUCUCUCCUCGCACAUUCAAAAGGAUUGCCAUUUUGCCAGGUUGCCUGUAUAAACUGUACCCGCAGUCACUGCCGGCCCAAAAGCACUGCAAAAAUUGUUUCCAAUCAUUUUGAUCAUUUUUCCUGGUUGGGGUUUAAGCCAGCUAAAUCAAAAUUUUCAAGCUUAAUUGUAAGGCAGGCAAUCUUAACCAAAAUUCAUAACGCUAGUAUUCAAUCCUUGGUAUGUAAAUUG